GGCGAGGGACACGCGCUUUCGGAACGCGAACGCUCGCGUGACAGAAACAGCGCCCUCGCGUGCAGGUUGACGGUAGCGCAAAACCGGGGAAGUUUGUCGUCGCACUCCGGACACUGCCAAAGAUCUUUUGGAGAAUCUCUCGAAUUUUCCUCUCGGAUGCACUGGAUGUUACCAGCUUUGGAGAACUCAAGGAAUGUUCCCUCUCUGAGGAAGAAGCCUAUUGAUCAAUGAGGAAACAAGACUCUUUGGUGAAGCUGGUUUCUAGUAAGUGGUGGUUCAUGACAAUGAAUAUCAACAGUGGUGACUACUGUGUUUUCAUACCUUCGUCCUCUGGGCCUUGGGCGGAAGCAUUUCCACCGAUGAGCGAGUCAUCAGUAUUACCCUCUGUUCUACCGACCAUCUUGCCCUUCACCUCCAGGCACAGCCAGUCCGUGAUCUUGUAGAUGUCGGGGAACAGCUUGUCAUAGCUGAUGAGUUGUGCACAUAUGUGUGCCCAUGGAGGCCAGAGAGGAAGGAUCUCCCUGAAGUUGAAGUCACGCUUACUGGCGAACUGGCUUUUGUGGUUGCUGGGAAUGCGAACCCUCUGGGAGAGCAAAAAGUGCUCCUAACUGCUGAGCCAUCCAAGUUACCGACUUCCUCAUUGUAAAUAUAAAAAGUAAGGCAAAUAGUGAAGUGACUUUUCUUGUGUUCUCAAGAUUACUCCUUAGCCCGUUUACUUUCACCUGCUGUGAUAAUGAAUGUGACGUCAUCUUCCCGUUAUCUCAGUUUCUGUUUCUUCUCAAAUGUGCAUAAAAAUGGAGUUCUCUGAGGAACUUUCUUUUUAAAUUCGCUUAACUUUUAUUUUACGUGCACUGGUAUCAGAUGCCCUGGAACUGGAGGUACA